AUUGAACGCUGGCGGCAGGCCUAACACAUGCAAGUCGAGCGAGCGGCGGACGGGUGAGUAAUGUAUGGGGACUGCCCGAUAGAGGGGGAUAACUACUGGAAACGGUGGCUAAUACAGCAUACUGUCGGAUAACCCAUAUGGGAUUAGCUAGUAGGUAGGGUAAUGGCUUACCAGGGCGACGAUCCCGAGCUGGUAUGAGAGGAUGAUCAGACACACUGGAAAUGAGAAACGGCCCAGACUCCUACGGAGGCAGCAGUGGGGAAGAUUGAACAAUGGGCGCAAGCCUGAUGCAGCCAUGCCGCGUGUAUGAAGAAGGCCCUAGGGUUGUAAAGUACUUUCAGUCGGGAGGCGUUACCGACAGAAGAAGCACCGGCUAACUCCGUGCCAGCAGCCGCGGUAAUAC
rnacentral:rRNA from 1 species